CUGAUCCAAAUCCCCAUCGAUUCCAAUCGAUCUACUGUCCCUCGCCCAGUCUUGACUCCGUAUAAAUAAUCCCCUUACUCUCCUCUGCCGAUUUUUGGCAAAAUCCCUCUCUCCCGUGCCCUAGGUCGAUUUCGCGAUCUCGCCGGAGUCCAUCGCCGCAGGAGCUCUCUCCGGUCGUUUUCGUCGACGCAGAAGGGGAGUACCAAACCGAGCGCCAGGACCUCGAUCCGAAGAUCACAGCCACCGCCUGAGCUCCAGCCACCCUCUGCCCUCGUCUCCGCUCGUCGCCGACUCCGCUAAGGACGUAAUCGAGACCGCAGCAGAGAUCCUCGCCCCGUACGCUACCCUCCGGAGUCUGGACACCACCGGAGCAGGCGCCACUAUCGCCGCCCGAGCCGCCGUGCCGCCGUUUUGUUCAAGUCCGGCGACAAUCCCUCGUCUAUUCUCGGAUUAUCCGGAGUGUGAAGCGGACCAGAAUUAAUCGUUAGAGUACUUCAGCACCGUUCAAGGCAAGUUUGCACUUUUGAUUUUGCUCAUCCUAUAUUCUGCUAUGCACGUGUGGUUUCAUUGCUAUGAUAAAUGUUUGGCUUGAUAUGUGUAUCUCGUGUUGCCAUGUUUUGUUAUCGACUGUGUUAUGUGAUGGUGUGAUCAACUUGCUAUGGUAGACGUGGGCAUGUGUCGAGCGAUCCAUGAAAGUGGUGAGUGUUUAUAGCUGUAGGCUCGGGAUUAUUAACCAAGUGAAUGUGUCACUGGCAGAGCGCUCUAUUGUCCCUAGAGAAUGCGCCAUUGACAGAGCGCACUUGAGGCGAGGUUUAGUUUUCGGAACUUAAAUCAGGUGAAUGCGUCCUUGGCAGAGCGCUCUAUUGUUCCUAGAGAAUGCGCCACCGACAGAGCGCACUUGAGAGAUACUUCUGAAGUUCUUGUCAUGUUUAUUUAGAAUCUUUGGGUUACCUUGGGCGAGUAAAUUAGAGAGGGUUGUGAGUUCAGGUAGUGGAGGUAGGUGAAGACAUUUUUUCUCCUAACUAACUUGUGUGUUUUAUUUGUCAUACAUUGCUUUGUGGAUGUAGGUUUGCUAUAUCAUAUUGUGUGAUUUGCCAAUACAUUCAAUGUAUUGACCCUUUGUGGCUGCAACUUAUCAUGUGUCAGGAUUUUCAGAUGAUCAGUGAGAUACAGUAGGGUCACGAGCCUUCACUCAACAUGUUCUCCAGUGGGCAUUGAUGGACUCAUCGUUGAUUAUGCUACCUUUCUGCUGUUAUUAUUGAAUAAGUUAGCCAUGUGCUAUUCAGUUUGUAAUACUUUAUAACUUCUGGAUCAUACGUUAUGUUAAAUGAUGCACUUGUUAUUUGAU